CUGUUUGUUCAGACCUGUGUCUAGUUGUUUAGUUGUUUAUGCAAAGAAAUCCAAAGUGCUUGUUCAUUCACAGACAAUGUUCAUGUCAGUAAGGCUAUGGCUUUGGCUGUAAUUUCAGCAAGGUAUGUAACUGCAAUUGUCUGGGUUUUUUUCAGUACAACUUAUUUAUCAAAACAGUUCAAAAGCCAAAUCUUUAGAUAUGGUGAAAUUAAUGAUUUGCCUAUUCCUGAUGUGUGAGGAGGACAGCAAUUAAUUAUAUCUAGUAUCUACAUGGUAUUAUUCAACCAAAUUACAAGGAAGGCUAUCAUUAUUUACAUAAUCCAGAGGAGGAAAACAGGUCUCGGAGAGGUCAAACAAGAGGUGAGCCAGCAUGCGUGAGGUCAGUCUGCCAACAAUUAGUAUUUGGCACAUGGAAGCAGACUGAUUUUUUUUUAUUGUGGGUUUUGUUUUUCCUUUUCCCCAGAGAUGCUGAGCAUCCACAGCUUGCUUUGAAAUUACUGGGAACUCAAGCAUUUCUGAGCAUCAGUCUGUGCUUGUGAUCCACUCAUACUCCCAAACAGACAUGUAACUUCUGGUGCAGCAGUUUGAGCUAAGCAACUUGCAUACAGAGAAGUCACGCUUAGCUCCUGUGGAGGGAUGGAAACUCAGAUCCAUGACUGAAAAUCAUGUUUGCAUCCAGUUUUAUUGUAGAGCAUCUGGGAGCAUCAGGAUGAGAGCAGUAGCUUUGCUGCAUUGCUCUUUGAAUCUGCCAGUUUCCACUGGUUGCCUUGCUGAUGUUUUUUUCCAGUUUUAGUGUUAGGUGUGCUCACAGCUGAAAUAAAAAGCUGGCUGUGGGGUCCGUGCAGUACAGCUUUGCUGAGGCAAAGCUUCAUAACCCUCUGACAUGUUAUUCUCAUUUGGCUCAUCUCUUGCUAGUGAGAAACACACUUCACAUUUGGGGCUGACACUCUACACAAGCCUCAGGAAGAAGCCUACGCACUGGAUUCCAAGGGACUGGAUGAAGCAAAUUGCACCAUUUCCCAUCACUCAAGAGCACCCAGCUGUAACCAGCACCCACACUGCACCUCCAAUCCACUUUUAGGCUCUGUCUGUACCAUGUUUAUUUGUGCAGAAAUCCAGAACAGGCUGUGAAAUUGGUCAAUAAACCUGGUAUUAAUCCCUCAGUAAAGGUCACUACUGAAGACAAGACACUAAAUUAGAUGGAUGGCUGAAUAGUCUGUACUAAUAGGGUAAUUUAAUGUUUGCUUCUCUCCAGAAGCCUUAACGUUUAUUUCAAAUAUAAAUUUUAUAUUCACUUACUAAACAGCUCCUGUCCUUCCAACCUUCCUUCUAUGCAUGCUACUUUGUUUUUAUCAGCUACACCUACAAAUCCACUUAGGCUCAUUUGAAUCAUGAUUUUUCAGAGGUAACAAGUGAACCUCAGUUUGGGAAAAGGACAAGAACAACCAGGCACAUUAAAGGAACCUGAUUUAUCUGAUUUAUAAACAGAAUGGACAGCAGAAGCAUAGAGAAUAAAAUUACUUGCUUCUUUGUGGGACCUCAAGGU